ACAAGCACAGACAAAUCUUACAAUGAAGCAAGAUAAUGUAACAAUUAAAGGUCUUCAGACUAAUGUUAGCAUACCAAAGGUAAACUUAUGUUUGUUACAAGCCUCAGUGGAAGAAUCUCCAACUACAGCUCCUAGUAGGAGUGUGACUCAUGUUUCCCUAGUGGCAUUGUGUUUUGACAGAAUUGCUACACAAGUUCGCAUGAACAGAGGUGUGGUUGAAGAGACUUCAAACAAUGCAGAACCUGGUAGAACAUCAAAUUUUGAUAGGUAUGUUCAUGCCACAAAGAUGCAGCCUCAGUCAUCUGGAUCUCUCAGAUCAAAUGCUGGAGCAGAAAAAGGCAAAGAAAUUGCAGCCAAGUUAAACAUUCAUCGAGUUCAUGGGCAACUUAGGGGUCUUGAUACAACAGGUAGGAUUCUACAACAAAUAUGUUUUUUCUUGGCAUAUAUAAAUGUAAGAGGAUUUUGCAGAAGGGAACAUGUUUUUUUCCUUUGACUAUUGCUACAAUUUGGUAUUCUAUAAGAAAGAGAAAGGUAUUUCUCCCUAUAUUGAACACGUGGUAUUUAGCUACUUGUCACUCACAUUCUGUACAGAAUAGAAAAUAAACUUUGGUAAGAAAAUUAAGUAGUAUGGCCCCAAAUUAGGAACUGCUUCUAUUUCCCAUGUGUUUUUUCCAUGCUAUUUACUUGCUCAUUAUAGAACAGAGAAGACAUGAUCUUUAUAGUCUU
rnacentral:sRNA from 1 species